rnacentral:rRNA from 1 species
CCUACGGGAGGCAGCAGUGGGGAAUAUUGCACAAUGGGGGAAACCCUGAUGCAGCGACGCCGCGUGAGUGAAGAAGUAUUUCGGUAUGUAAAGCUCUAUCAGCAGGGAAGAAAAUGACGGUACCUGAUUAAGAAGCCCCGGCUAACUACGUGCCAGCAGCCGCGGUAAUACGUAGGGGGCAAGCGUUAUCCGGAUUUACUGGGUGUAAAGGGAGCUUAGACGGCAGCACAAGUCUGGAGUGAAAUGCCGGGGCUUAACCCCGGAACUGCUUUGGAAACUGUGCAGCUUGAGUGCAGGUGAGGUAAGUGGAAUUCCUAGUGUAGCGGUGAAAUGCGUAGAUAUUAGGAGGAACACCAGUGGCGAAGGCGGCUUACUGGACUGUAACUGACGUUGAGGCUCGAAAGCGUGGGGAGCAAACAGGAUUAGAUACCCCUGUAGUC